UGAGGAAUAUUGGACAAUGGAGGCAACUCUGAUCCAGCCAUGCCGCGUGCAGGAAGACUGCCCUAUGGGUUGUAAACUGCUUUUAUACAGGAAGAAACCUACUUACGUGUAAGUAGCUGACGGUACUGUAAGAAUAAGGAUCGGCUAACUCCGUGCCAGCAGCCGCGGUAAUACGGAGGAUCCAAGCGUUAUCCGGAAUCAUUGGGUUUAAAGGGUCCGUAGGUGGUUUAUUAAGUCAGAGGUGAAAUCCCAUAGCUUAACUAUGGAACUGCCUUUGAUACUGAUAGACUUGAGUUAUUGUGAAGUGGUUAGAAUGUGUAGUGUAGCGGUGAAAUGCAUAGAUAUUACACAGAAUACCGAUUGCGAAGGCAGAUCACUAACAAUAUACUGACACUGAGGGACGAAAGCGUGGGUAGCGAACAGGAUUAGAUACCCUGGUAGUCCACGCCGUAAACGAUGGUCACUAGCUGUUUGACUAACAUUGGUUAGUUGAGUGGCUAAGCGAAAGUGAUAAGUGACCCACCUGGGGAGUACGCUCGCGAGAGUG
rnacentral:rRNA from 1 species